rnacentral:rRNA from 1 species
AUACGAAGGGUGCAAGCGUUACUCGGAAUUACUGGGCGUAAAGCGUGCGUAGGCGGUUUGUUAAGUCUGACGUGAAAUCCCCGGGCUCAACCUGGGACGUGCGUUGGAAACUGGCGAUCUAGAGUACGGUAGAGGGUGGUGGAAUUCCCGGUGUAGCAGUGAAAUGCGUAGAGAUCGGGAGGAACACUCGUGGCGAAGGCGGCCACCUGGACCAGUACUGACGCUGAGGCAACGAAAGCGGUGGGGAGAC